GACGAACGCUGGCGGCGUGCUUAACACAUGCAAGUCGAACGAUGAAAGUGGAGCUUGCUCCGCUGGAUUAGUGGCGAACGGGUGAGUAACACGUGGGCAACCUGCCCUAGACUCUGGGAUAACUCCGCGAAAGAGGAGCUAAUACCGGAUACGAACUCCUUGGGCAUCCUCGGGGUUGGGAAGUUUUUCGGGCUGGGAUGGGCCCGCGGCCUACCAGCCUGUUGGUGGGGUAGAGGCCCACCAAGGCGACGACGGGUAGCCGGCCUGAGAGGGCGACCGGCCACACUGGGACUGAGACACGGCCCAGACUCCUACGGGAGGCAGCAGUGGGGAAUAUUGCGCAAUGGGCGAAAGCCUGACGCAGCAACGCCGCGUGAGGGAUGACGGCCUUCGGGUUGUAAACCUCUUUCAGCAGGGAAGAAGCGAAAGUGACGGUACCUGCAGAAGAAGCACCCGCUAACUACGUGCCAGCAGCCGCCGUAA
rnacentral:rRNA from 1 species